CUUCACCCCAAUCAUCUGUCCCACCUUAGGCGGCUGGCUCCUUGCGGUUACCCCACCGACUUCGGGUGUUACAAACUCUCGUGGUGUGACGGGCGGUGUGUACAAGACCCGGGAACGUAUUCACCGUGGCAUGCUGAUCCACGAUUACUAGCGAUUCCGGCUUCAUGUAGGCGAGUUGCAGCCUACAAUCCGAACUGAGAAUGGUUUUAUGGGAUUGGCUAAACCUCACGGUCUCGCAGCCCUUUGUACCAUCCAUUGUAGCACGUGUGUAGCCCGGGUCAUAAGGGGCAUGAUGAUUUGACGUCAUCCCCACCUUCCUCCGGUUUGUCACCGGCAGUCUCCUUAGAGUGCCCAACUAAAUGCUGGCAACUAAGGACAAGGGUUGCGCUCGUUGCGGGACUUAACCCAACAUCUCACGACACGAGCUGACGACAACCAUGCACCACCUGUCACUCUGUCCCCCGAAGGG
rnacentral:rRNA from 1 species